AUAGACGAUAUGGGAAAAGGUACACGAUCAUCGUGUUUAAAAGGGAAGCCCGGUGCAAAACCGGCACGGUCCCGCCACUGUGAACUGGCCGUUUUUUGCAAACAUCCACUAUCUGCCAAGAUGGGAAGGAGCGAAAAGCUAUGGUCAUAAGUCAGGAGACCUGCCUUUUCCAGCGACACUGC
rnacentral:ncRNA from 2 species